AAAUACCUCAUGUAUUGCUUUGAUUUGAGCAAUGCUCUCAUAUGCCUCCACAGAAAAUCCUUUCUGCAAGAGUGGAUAACGGAAUAGUAGGUGAUCAGAAUGCUGUCUGAAGAUGUAAACUAGCCUUCAUUGUAGCAAGUGCCUGCAGAGCGCCUUCUUGCACUAUUAGGGCUAACCAGCAGGGAGAAGGCGUCUAGCCCAGCUCCAGUUUGAUGUCGCUGUGUCUUGCAGCCAAGUGAAGCUGGAAACAACCCAGGUGUACUACAAUGGAA